ensembl:processed_transcript
GGCAAAGCAGUGGAAGGCAGGCUGGGAGUACGCGCCCACACCCAGGAAGGAGGAGAGAGGAGGGAGGUUUGCAGUGGCAGUACUAAGCAAAUGCAGUAAAUACAAGUACUGCAGUUGCCAGGAGCAUGCUUAUUUUCUCUUCCCUCCACGCCUCUAAGCCACUAAGAAUUGAUGAAGAGAGAAACUGUGUCCGAAGCAAUUGAGCAGAGCGCUCUCUGCAUGGGGUCUUCCCAGCCCACUGGUAACGGUUGAAUCAAGAUGGAGCGAGUUUGGAGAUGUACAUCAAAGCUUCUCCUGCUUCACGUGUCUCCAAAGCGUUCCUUGGCUGCCAGGGAAGAAGAGCAUCACACUCAUGGUGAACACUGAUAAUUAAAGUCAACAUCUCUGCACACUGAGUCAAUUUAUUGAACACCUUUUUUAUUGCUAGAUAAUCCUGUAUGUCAAUUCUCUAUAGCCAAAUAAUUGGUGGGUUUCCUUUUUUUUUUCAAAUUUAAUGUCUCUCAUGAAAUUUGCAUUUAAUAAAGGUUGCUUUCCUGCCUUUCUCAGGAACCUC